GGGGCUGAUCGGUUUCGACUGUGGUCGUUCGAAUCCAGGAGAAGCGGGUAGAGAAGGCAACGUCAUCUCUUUAACGUUCGUUGCAAACCCAUAAGUGCCGAUUCCAAGCGCACUGACUUCGCCCUCGCUGCCUGACAGCGACUUGCGGAGGGUGGACCCGGGAGCGUCCUCGUCCCGGAUCGUCCAUCUCAUCUAGAGGACUUGCUGAUCUGAUCGUGUAGCGCGGCCAGAUCGGGACUUUUUCGCUACUGAGCCUGUCGGUGACGCGUUCGUCCGAGCGCCGGGGCUGAGAAAAGCGUCAGACGAACUGCACCCGGAGAAGACCUGUUUCAGCGCCAGAGGACCCGGGUUCGAUUCCCGGCAGCUCCACCC
rfam:Aeromicrobium choanae strain 9H-4 genome assembly, chromosome: I